GACGAACGCUGGCGGCGUGCUUAACACAUGCAAGUCGAACGGAAAGGCCCUGCUUUUGUGGGGUGCUCGAGUGGCGAACGGGUGAGUAACACGUGAGUAACCUGCCCUUGACUUUGGGAUAACUUCAGGAAACUGGGGCUAAUACCGGAUAGGAGCUCCUGCUGCAUGGUGGGGGUUGGAAAGUUUCGGCGGUUGGGGAUGGACUCGCGGCUUAUCAGCUUGUUGGUGGGGUAGUGGCUUACCAAGGCUUUGACGGGUAGCCGGCCUGAGGGGGUGACCGGCCACAUUGGGACUGAGCUACGGCCCAGACUCCUACGGGAGGCAGCAGUGGGGAAUAUUGCACAAUGGGCGGAAGCCUGAUGCAGCAACGCCGCGUGCGGGAUGACGGCCUUCGGGUUGUAAACCGCUUUCGCCUGUGACGAAGCGUGAGUGACGGUAAUGGGUAAAGAAGCACCGGCUAACUACGUG
rnacentral:rRNA from 1 species